rnacentral:rRNA from 1 species
AGUGAACGCUGGCGGUAGGCCUAACACAUGCAAGUCGAACGGCAGCACAGUAAGAGCUUGCUCUUACGGGUGGCGAGUGGCGGACGGGUGAGGAAUACAUCGGAAUCUACUUUUUCGUGGGGGAUAACGUAGGGAAACUUACGCUAAUACCGCAUACGACAUACGGGUGAAAGCAGGGGAUCUUCGGACCUUGCGCGAUUGAAUGAGCCGAUGUCGGAUUAGCUAGUUGGCGGGGUAAAGGCCCACCAAGGCGACGAUCCGUAGCUGGUCUGAGAGGAUGAUCAGCCACACUGGAACUGAGACACGGUCCAGACUCCUACGGGAGGCAGCAGUGGGGAAUAUUGGACAAUGGGCGCAAGCCUGAUCCAGCAAUACCGCGUGAGUGAAGAAGGCCUUCGGGUUGUAAAGCCCUUUUGUUAGGAAAGAAAAGCAGCAGGUUAAUACCCCGCUGUUCUGACGGUACCCAAAGAAUAAGCACCGGCUAACUUCGUG